ACCAUUGCUCAUUCCUGAUGUAAAAUAAUGGUGCUAAAAUGACCAAACAAGGCCUAGGUGGACUCUUUGGUAUCAUUACCAUUGUGGCCUUUAAUAACGCACUUUGCUGCAGUUCGCUUCAGCGGGUAUGCUUUUCUUAGUCACUUUUGAAUCAUAAAUAGCUACAUUUUGAGAACAGUUGCAGAUCCCUUUGGAUAUGCUGUGUUUAACACGUCCCAGCAUUUCUUAAGGCAGUUGUCCUGCUCGGGGCUUCUUACAUGCAUUCAUAACCUGACAUGUGAGUGAGUCAGACGAAUUAGAAACACCCAAAGAAUGUAAGAGCCAGAAAACUAUGUAUUCAAGCAAAACAACUAAGAUCGUCCCGAUAAGUCUCUAAGAGUGAUAGUGUUUGUCAAUGAGCACAUGCAUUUUUGUAAAACUGACUUGAUAAGGCAUCUUUGUGAGGCGUCUUCUGAUGUCCUAAAGCAGGAUUGAGGUCUAGCAUUGCACUUAGGGCAUUUGUUCACUCACAUACUACAUUCCUUAGCCAGCCUAACACUUCCACCCACGCGCAGCACAAAUAAAUUUCCGACUUCUUUGUUAAGGUGGAAUCCAGGUAAACGAUAGCAAAAUUGUAGCGCAUGGCACACUGCACACACACGCACAGCUGCAGGGUAAACUUGCAUUUCUACUUUAAUAAAGGCUGAAAAUGAUAACGUUUAGAAUUUUUUUUUUUUUAUAUAUUAGCUACGUAACAAGGGACACAUUUACAUCUGUAAAUACAUUUUAUUUAUUUUUAUUGUGACAACUGUAUUUUGACAAUUUCAUAAAAAAAAAAAAAAAAAAAGUUAAAACUAUUACAAAAAAAUGAAACCAGCAUCUGGACUUUUGACUAGUGAUUUGUAUCUGAAUGUCAUCGCUUAUCAAACAAGAAAGAAUGUAGACCACUGGGCCUAGCGGGAGCUGAGGUCUCGAUUUUACCACCUUUAUCCUGCCCACAAGGCUGUUUCCGAGACAACCCUGAAACCUAGAGCACGGGGUAGGAAGUCAGACUGAGGGUGGAGGUGUGGGGAAAAUAAUAUCAAGGGAGUCCUCCACACCAGCAGAGAUGCUGCUAGACUGAGAGAAAUAUGCACUGUCUUGAGACGGAGGAGACCCGGGAGAUUUCUCUGCAUCCUCAGUGCCCUCUACAGGAGAGGACGAGAGAGAAAGCCCUGAUCCUG